CGUAGGGGACGAGCGUUGUCCGGAUUCAUUGGGCGUAAAGAGCGCGUAGGCGGCUCGGAAAGUCGGUCGUGAAAUCCUGGGGCUCAACCCCGGAACUGCGUCCGAUACUUCCGAGCUGGAGGCAGGUAGGGGAGAUCGGAAUUCCUGGUGUAGCGGUGAAAUGCGCAGAUAUCAGGAGGAACACCGGUGGCGAAGGCGGAUCUCUGGGCCUUGCCUGACGCUGAGGCGCGAAAGCUAGGGGAGCGAACAGGAUUAGAUACCCUGGUAGUCCUAGCCGUAAACGUUGGGUGCUAGGUGUGGGCGGAUAUCGACCCCGUCCGUGCCGAAGCUAACGCAUUAAGCACCCCGCCUGGGGAGUACGGCCGCAAGGCUA
rnacentral:rRNA from 1 species